AUCCAGCUGACGAGUCCUAAAUAGGACAAAACGCACGUCCUGGAU
rnacentral:hammerhead_ribozyme from 1 species